AACGAACGCUGGCGGCAGGCCUAACACAUGCAAGUCGAACGAAACCUUCGGGUCUAGUGGCGCACGCGUGCGUAACGCGGGGGAACCUGCCCUUAGAUUUGGAAUAACUCCCCGAAAGGGGUGCUAAUACCGGAUAAUGUACUCCGACCAAAGAUUUGUCGCCUUUGGGUGGGCCCGCGUUGUAUUGGAUUGUUGGUAGGGUAAAAGCCUAUCAAGGCUACGAUCGAUAGCGGGUAUGAGAGGAUGAGCCGCCACACUGGGCGUGGGGAACGGCCCAGACUCCUAGGGGAGGGAGCAGUGGGGAAUAUUGGAAAAUCGGGGGAAUGCUGAUCCAGCAAUGCUGCGUGAGUGAUGAAGGUCGUAGGGUUGUAAAGUUCUUUUACACGGGAUGAUAAUGACAGUACCGGGAGAAUAAGCACCGGCUAACUCCGUG
rnacentral:rRNA from 1 species